CCAUAGCUAGCUAGUGAGGUGAGGUUAACACAGAAGAACUCUUCUUGUUCCCUCAAAGGCUUCCAGUAUUCAUGUCAUAAUUAACUUGCUUACAUGAAUGCUGGAAGUCUUUGAAAGGAACUUGAAAGCAUACUUCUACACUUGUGAUAAGUAUCGGAAAACCAUACAGCACUUCCAACAAAAUUUUCGUUUCCCUAAUGGAAGGGAACACGUUACAGGAACCAAAAGGGUGAUAUAUGCAUGUUGUAGAUUGAUAUAUGUUCUAGAGAAGUUAGAGCCUCGGUAUCUCUACUUCACAAGUAACCAACAUGCUUGGUCAUGGCAUAGUCGAUAUUGUCUCUUCCAAGAUGACCUAAUCACGACUUGAUCGAUCUGGUUAUGUUAUAGCUGAUAUUUUUCUUUUAUUGAAGAUGCAUAACUCUUUUUCAUUGGAUCGGUUACUAUAAAAAUAAGUAAUACUUUUAUUUUUGAUUUGAUAUUCAAUUUAGAGAUCAAAUUUUAAUUUUUUAGUUAAAAAACACACAUGUAAAACUAUUUGAACUAUUAACUUUUGAUACAUGUUCUGACCAAUAUGAUCAAACUAACACACAUGAUAUAAAAGAAAUCGUAACAAACUAUCAACGAAAUAACAAACUUUAUCUUUCUUGUCACUGUUUAAAAGGCCUUGCAUCCAUGUGGCCACCACCAUUUUGCUCUCAACACUGGUUGCAGCCUCACGGAGUUAAUUGGCAUUUGGAAGAUAUAGCUCUCUGUGUUCACUGUUGAACAAUUUAUAAUCAUAUUACAUAAAUAUGUAAUUAUGGAUUGGAUGUCUACAUUUGUUUUACGGUUUCACCUUUUUAGAUUAGGUUCUCUUAAUUAUUCUUCAGAUUUUUAACAUUUAUAACUCGGUAACUGAUAACAGUGUUUUCAAAGAAAUUUUAAUGUCAAAAGGUUAACAAAAAAUUUAGUUGAUCAACAAUAGUUUAACAUGAUAAUCUAAAAUCGCUUUCACAAGGUUUAAGUGUAUCUAUAAAUUUAAAAUAAAUAUUUAUUAUACUUGAAAAAAUCAUCAAAAUAUAAAAUUGAAUACAAAGUGACAAAACGUCUAUCGCAGUAUUAUUCAAUUCUGAUGUUUUUCGGGAUCCUUAUAUAAAGAAAAUAACUAUUUUUUUUUUAACUUUACCAAUGGUUAGUAGGAAGUGAAAAAGCAUAGACAUUUUCACUUAUUGAUAGAUUGAUACAUCUUGUGUUAAUUAUACUUCCAAUUUCGACAUUUACAAGAGUCAAGUUUUUCUACAAUAAAAGUUAUUAAAACCUUACUUAAUAACAAAAUAGAAAAUAACUUAGAAAUAUUAUAAUUCCAUGCGUUAAGAGAAAAAAUUUUGCUAAAAUAUCCAAUCUUAAUACAUUAACAAAUGAAGUUAAUUAGUAAUACAAAAGAACAAUGAGUUAUAUUUAAACAAAACUUGUUUUUCUUAUUUAAAAUAUGUCCAAUACAUUUUGCUCUACCCUAGCUACCCCCAAAAUGGAAAGAUCAUGACUACAUUAAUUUAGAAAGCUUUUAUUAAUAUUAUAUUACUGAAAUUAAUGCAUUGACGAUAUUGAAUGUUAUAUUUUGCAAUAAAGAAAUUUGACUCUUUUUCCAUGAAUAUCUUCCUGCUAAAGGCUACGCACUCCAAACAGAUUUUUAGUAUCUAUAAAAAAAUGUUUUGAUUCUUAUAAAAAAAAUAUAUUAUGAUUUUCAUUCUUUCAAAAUAUGAAAUCGCUAAAUUUAGCCUGCAGUGUUUGGUUUAAAUAUCAUUUUUUAAGUAUCUUAAAAAAAAAAAAAAUAUUA